rnacentral:ncRNA from 1 species
GUUGAGCUUGACUCUAGUCUGACUUUGUGAAAUGACUUGAGAAGUGUAGAAUAAAUGGGAGUCGUUUUCAACGCAAGUGAAAUAUAACCACUACUUUUAAUGUUAUUUUACUUAUUUCAUGAGGAAUAGAUGGUGAAUUUCCCCCAUUUUUGGCCAUAAGAAACCUUUCGUCGAGUCGAUCUGGGAAAAAUAUAUUGUCAGGUAGGGAGUUUGGCUGCAAUGGCACAUUUGUUAAAAGAUAACGCACAUUUCCUCAAAGUGAUUUCAUUUAUGGGAAUGGUCGAGAGAUCAUUAUUCAUGCACUUGAUGUCAUUGAUUUUCAAGAAUUGCAAGAUACAAC